AGUUGGAAACGACUGCUAAUACCGCAUAAGCCCACAGGUCGGCAUCGACCAGAGGGAAAAGGAGCAAUCCGCUUUGAGAUGGCCUCGCGUCCGAUUAGCUAGUUGGUGAGGUAAUGGCCCACCAAGGCAACGAUCGGUAGCCGGACUGAGAGGUUGAACGGCCACAUUGGGACUGAGACACGGCCCAGACUCCUACGGGAGGCAGCAGUGGGGAAUAUUGCACAAUGGGGGAAACCCUGAUGCAGCGACGCCGCGUGGAGGAAGAAGGUCUUCGGAUUGUAAACUCCUGUUGUUGAGGAAGAUAAUGACGGUACUCAACAAGGAAGUGACGGCUAACUACGUGCCAGC
rnacentral:rRNA from 1 species